rnacentral:misc_RNA from 1 species
GAAGAUGGAUUCAAGAGGAUGGCUACUGCAAACCAUGAUCAGAAGAAUCAGACUUCUCUUGGGGUUGAUAUAUAUCUUGCAUUAUUCCCGCUUAAAUCUAAAAGCAUUUGUUCAUAGAUGUCGAACAAUUGAUAGGAUGCACUGCUACUGCUUCUGAGCCUUAGGAUGGGUAUUCAUUGAGUAGCUUCAUAUAUGGAACUAUGAUGAAGAGCACUGUCACUGAUCGACUUCAUCUAUGAGUUCUUACUUCUCUUCAAAUUCCUUUUUUUAACUGGAGUUGCCACUAUGAAGAAGUCCCACAAUCCCUUG